rnacentral:rRNA from 1 species
UACGUGGGGUGCAAGCGUUGUCCGGAAUUAUUGGGCGUAAAGAGCUCGUAGGUGGCCUGUCGCGUCGGCUGUGAAAACUCGGGGCUCAACUCCGAGCUUGCAGUCGAUACGGGCAGGCUAGAGUUCGGCAGGGGAGACUGGAAUUCCUGGUGUAGCGGUGAAAUGCGCAGAUAUCAGGAGGAACACCGGUGGCGAAGGCGGGUCUCUGGGCCGAUACUGACACUGAGGAGCGAAAGCGUGGGGAGCGAACAGG